GUAAUAAAUUUAGCCUACCUUACCAAGAUAAAUUAAUUUUUAAUAAUAAAUAAAACAUUUUAACAUUUUAGUAUAGGUGAUAGAAAAACUUAAUAGCGCAAUAGAAAUAGUACUGUAAAGGAAAAAUGAAAUAGAAAUUAAAUAAAACAUAAAAACAAUAAAAAGCAAAGACUAAACCUUUUACCUCUUGCAUCAUGGUCUAGUAAGUUUACCCUAACAUAAAGCACUUAAGUUAGACAUCCCGAAACUAGACGAGCUACUCCGGAACAGCAAAACGAGCCAACCCUUCUCUGUGGCAAAAGAGUGGGAUGAUUCCUGAGUAGAGGUGAUAAGCCUACCGAGCCUAG
rnacentral:rRNA from 1 species